GGAUAGAGCUCAGUGGUAAAGCGAAUGCUUAGCAUGCACGAGGUCCUGGGUUCAAUCCCCAGUACCUCCA
rnacentral:tRNA from 1 species